rnacentral:rRNA from 1 species
GACGUAGGGUGCGAGCGUUGUCCGGAUUUAUUGGGCGUAAAGAGCUCGUAGGCGGCUCGUCGCGUCGACCGUGAAAACCCGCGGCUUAACUGUGGGCGUGCGGGCGAUACGGGCAGACUUGAGUACUGCAGGGGAGACUGGAAUUCCUGGUGUAGCGGUGGAAUGCGCAGAUAUCAGGAGGAACACCGGUGGCGAAGGCGGGGUCUCUGGGGCAAGCACAUGACGCUGAGGAGCGAAAAGCGUGGGGGAGCGAACAGG